rnacentral:tRNA from 1 species
GGGCGCGUGGUGGAGUGGUUACCACGUCCGCUUUGCAUACACAAUUCUUGUACGAGCGGUAGGUCGCGGGUUCAAAUCCCGUCGCGUCCA